GGGAUAAGGAAUAUUUUUGGUUAUUAUUAUUUUAUUAAUUUUUAGGUGAAAUUUAUUUUUAUUAUGAGGCUAUGAAACUUAAACUAAUAAACAAGGAUUAGAUACCCUUUUAUUCUAAGUGUUUACCUGGGUAGUAUUUGAUAUGUUCUUCAAACCUAUAGGAUUUGGCGGUAUUUUAAUCUUUUCAGAGGAAUCUGUCCCUUAAUCGAUAGUCCACGAUUUUGUUUACUUAUUUUUGUAGUUUGUAUACCUCCGUCAUAAGAAUAUCUUUUUAGAGAAAUUUUCUUUUUUAUUUAAAAUAAAUAUGUCAGGUCAAGGUGCAGCUUAUAAAUAAGUGGAGAUGGAUUACAAUAAAUUUAUUUAUACGGAUUUGGGUAUAUUUUUAUCCCAUUGAAGGUGGAUUUGAUAGUAAAGUUAUUUAUUUGGUCUCUUGAUUUAACUCUAAAAUAUGCCACACAUCGCCCGUCGCUCUCAUAUUAAUUUGAGAUAAGUCGUAACAUAGUAGGUGUAUCGGAAGAUGUACCUAGAUA
rnacentral:rRNA from 1 species